AUGUCAAGUAUUGAUGCAAAUGCCAAACAAACAACAACUAUAGCUGGAAUCGAGUUUGUGAAGGUUGAAAGAUGAAAGAAACGCAAAACUUUGCUGCACCCAUAUGAAUAUAUUUAAAGGUCGCUGAUCAAAAGAUUUCUGCGAAACAAAUUACAAACCCAGGAGAGUCCAUU